GAUGAAGAACGCAGUGAAAUGCGAUACGUAAUGUGAAUUGCAGAAUUCAGUGAAUCAUCGAGUCUUUGAACGCACAUUGCGCCCCCUGGUAUUCCGGGGGGCAUGCCUGUCCGAGCGUCAUUGCUGCCCUCAAGCACGGCUUGUGUGUUGGGCCUCCGUCCUCCUGCCGGGGGACGGGCCCGAAAGGCAGCGGCGGCACCGCGUCCGGUCCUCGAGCGUAUGGGGCUUCGUCACCCGCUCUUGUAGGCCCGGCCGGCGCUUGCCGACACAUCAAUCUUUUUUCCAGGUUGACCUCGGAUCAGGUAGGGAUACCCGCUGAACUUAAGCAUAUCAAUAAGCGGAGGA
rnacentral:misc_RNA from 1 species